GGUCAAGCGAAUAAGAGUCUAC
rnacentral:rRNA from 1 species